GAUGAACGCUAGCUACAGGCUUAACUCAUGCAAGUCGAGGGGAAACGAUAUUGGAAGCUUGCUUCCGAUAGGCGUCGACCGGCGCACGGGUGAGUAACGCGUAUCCAACCUGCCCACCACUUGGGGAUAACCUUGCGAAAGUAAAACUAAUACCCAAUGAUAUCUCUAGAAGACAUCUGAAAGAGAUGAAAGAUUUAUCGGUGAUGGAUGGGGAUGCGUCUGAUUAGCUUGUUGGCGGGGUAACGGCCCACCAAGGCGACGAUCAGUAGGGGUUCUGAGAGGAAGGUCCCCCACAUUGGAACUGAGACACGGUCCAAACUCCUACGGGAGGCAGCAGUGAGGAAUAUUGGUCAAUGGGCGAGAGCCUGAACCAGCCAAGUAGCGUGCAGGAUGACGGCCCUAUGGGUUGUAAACUGCUUUUAUAAGGGAAUAAAGUGAGAGUCGUGACUCUUUUUGCAUGUACCUUAUGAAUAAGGACCGGCUAAUUCCGUGCCAGCCGCCGCCGUAAGAC
rnacentral:rRNA from 1 species